CUCACUGACUCUGAAUCUGUGUCAGCGUCUGCUUUGUAACGUCGUGUAUGGCGUCGGUGUCGGCGUCGGCGCCAGCGUGCGUAGCGUCGGGGUCGCGUUCGGCGUCGUGGGCGGGGCGGCUAAGUUCAUCAGCGGCAGCGGUGAGGAAGGAAGUGGCGGCGGCGGUCUGAGAAGUCGGCGGUCGGCGAGGAAGCAGAGGCAGAGUUACAAGAGAGGCAGAGAAAGAGAGAAGUCUUGCAUCUGCUGGUUCACUCUCCACAUGGCCACAACAGCUGGAACUGCAUCUAUCUGGAGCCAGGAGCUUCCCUCAGGUCUCCCAGGUGGGUGUAGGGGCCCAAGGACUUGGACCAUCCUCUUCUGCUUUCCCAGGCCAUUGCAGAGAGCUGGAUCAGAAGUGAAGCAACCAGGACUCAAACCAGCGCCCAUAUGGGAUGCCGGCACUGCAGGUGGUGGCCCUACCAACCAUGCCACAUCGCUGGCCCCAGAAUUUCCAUUUUAACAUUUUUUCCUACUUGCAUUUCCAUCAAAGCAGGGGUUGAUGAUGACAUGUUAGGAAUCUAUUAUUAAAUGAAGGCAUGAGAAAUCUAUUCAAGCCCUCCUGCAUUACUCCUUCUUUCCAGCUCAUGCAGACUGAAUGUACAAAUGGUCUUGGUGCUUCUAUCACACAGUGGCAUUUCAUUGCUUGAUGCCUUUUCUGGAUAUAUCAUACUCUAUACCUCCAGUUGCUGAAUCACAGUAAUAGGCUGAUUCCAUAUUUCAGCUGUUGUGAGUAGCGCUGCCAUCAACAUGGAAUGGAGAUAUCCUUUUGACACACUGAUGUCGCAUCCUUUGGACAUCGACCCAGUAGUGGAAUUGCGGGAUUUUACUUAGUUCUGUUUUGCUAGAGAGACUCCCAUACUAUUUUCCAUAAUGGUUGUGCUAAUUUGUCAAUCUAUUUUCAGAUUUCUGAGCUAUGAGUUGUGUAUAUUAAAUCAGACUUCCCAUGCUUGAGACAAAUUUCACUUGGCCAUGACAUGUAGUCUUUUUGCUGAGUUGUUGGAUUGGUUUGGUAAUAUUUUAUUGAGGCUUUUUACAUAAAUAUUCAUCAGUGAGAUUGGCUGUAGUUUUACUUCUUUGUGAUGUCCUUGGCCUACGUAUCAAGCUGAUGCUGCCAUAAAAUGUGUUAGAAAUUAUUCCAUCCAGUUCAGUCUUGGAAGAAGUACAAAAUGUAUUGGUAUAAUUAUUUUUUUCAGUUUAAACAAGAAGUGUAUUUAAACAAGACGCUCAAAGAGAAAACUAAGAUUCAUUUUGUAAGAGUAAUUUGCCCCUCAUAAAGGCAGAUUAUUCUACAUUUAACAGCUACGUACAAAAUGUUAUUAAAAUAUUCUUGGUUUUUGAUGAUAAAUGAAAAACAUGAAAAUUCUCCAAUCAAGCAAGGAAUUGGGUGGGGGUGGGGCUUGUUUGCUUUUGUUAAGACAAGGAGAGCAAAAUAACUUACUGGAAUGGGAGCCGAAUGAGCAUGCCACUCCCAGAGAAGGGGAUAUUUUCGCACAGAAACAGUAUUUCCCCCCAUUUCAUCUCCAUUGGGUGUCCAUUAAAGCAUACCACCACUGGCCAUUUAGAAAAAGAAAGAGAGAGGGAGGGAGGAGGGAAAGAGAGAAAGUAUGUUUGCGCACCUACACCAGUGACUUGGUGUGCAAUAAAGGAAUGGGAAGGGGAAAAUGAAAGAACAGAGAAAACUAUACUGCAGUACUCAGGUUGUGAUGGAACCAAAUUGCAGCUUUCUCCUUGAGAAUGUAGUCUGGGUCUGUAAGGACAGAGUUCUAGAGUAAAACAGCAGGUUCCCUUGUUGGUAGACACCUCCUGUCUGCUGUUGGAACAUGUCUAUCCAUGUCCAGCUGUGCAUGUAUGUCUGAUUCAUGGGUUGGCUGCCCAUCAAAUGGGACACUAACCUGCCUCACUGACAAACCCUGUGGUCCACAAGAGGCUCUCAUUAGUCUACUAAGUGGUGUAGGCCUCUUAAUCUUAACCCUCACCACAGAACCAUCCUACUCCACCACCUUCAAAUUAAUAGGAUCCUUGUUCUCAGCCUAGACUGCCCCCAUUGGCCUUUUGUUGGCCAGGGCAAGCGACGGAGUCUCUUCAGCUGCAGAAGCACAGCUGUGGAACGAGGUCGGCACCAAAGGAGCACACACACAACACCAGGAGUGGUGGAGGAUGGUUUGUGGAGCCCCUUGGAGGGCGCACCAGCCGGAAGGAGCUGCACCUCCAGCGCGGAUGAAGGCUGCUGUUUUCUCUCUUUCUCUGCGGAGCGCUGCACGCGCAGAGCCAGGGACUGCUUGUGCGUGCUUUUCCCCGUGCAGAGCCGUCCACCUUGGCGCUUUCCCGCUCUCUUUAUCUCCGUCGCGUGCACGGACCACCUCAACCGCUGUGGACCUCCAGGGAUCCCAAGUGAAAAUCAGCGACGUUUACCAACGCCUCCUGAUGGCUGAAUCUCAGAACCGUUCCUGGAGCCCCUCGGAGGGCGCACCAGCCGGAAGGAGCUGCACCUCCAGCGCGGGUGAAGGCUGCUGUUUUCUCUCUUUCUCUGCGGAGCACUGCACGCCCGGAGCCAGGGACCGCUUGUGCGUGCUUUUCCCUGCGCAGAGCCCUCCACCUUGGUGCUUUCCCGCUCUCAUUAUCUCUGACGCAUGCACGGACCAUCCCAACCGGAGAAGAGUCUGGCUUCGUCUCCACCCCUAGGCUGUGGACCUCCAGGGAUCCCAAGUGAAAAUCAGCGACGUUUACCAACGCCUCCUGAUGGCUGAAUCUCAGAACCGAUCGUGGAGCCCCUCGGAGGGCGCACCAGCCGGAAGGAGCUCCACCUCCAGCGCGGAUGAAGGCUGCUGUUUUCUCUCUUCUCCACGGAGCGCUGCACGUGCGGAGCCACGGACUGCUUGUGCGUGCUUUUCCCUGCGCAGAGCCAUCCACCUUGGCGCUUUCCCGCUCUCUUUAUCUCCGUCGCGUGCACGGACCACCUCAACCGGAGGCUGUGGACCUCCAGGGAUCCCAAGUGAAAAUCAGCGACGUUUACCAACGCCUCCUGAUGGCUGAAUCUCAGAACCGUUCUGCUCACCCGGGCCAAGCAUGGGACCCCCCCCAACUCCUCCAUCCCCAGCACCCAGGCCUCUGUGGGCCCUGAGGACUUACUUCGGUGGACCUUGAGGACGGUGUACACCAUGCCGCUGUUUGCUGGGAGAUGCAGGAAGCCCACGAGUGCAGAACUUGAGGUGAAAAAUGGCUGUACCUGACGAUAGUGCCAAGUGCGGAGGCAGUGCACAACCUUGGCGGUGAUGUUCAGAGGCAGAGCUGAGGCCAGCGAGAGGCAGAAUCGGGAGCUUGCACCCCAGACAACUAGGCUCAGAAGGUACUGAAUAAACCUUAUUUCACUUUGCAAGUGCAUUUUACCUAGCUGUCUCUGCACUUCAGAGCCCCACAAUAGGAUUCUAACCCGGAAGUCACUGAUUAUUGUCAUUGGACAGGAGGGAUGGUGGCUCCAAGAACCACUCAUCAGAGUGCCUGACAAAUGCUCUGAGUGCAGCCGAACAAUGCUGAGCCCUUAGAUUCCUUAUGCAAAUUCAGAAGCAGCAGCCCAGGCACUCUGCUUGGGACUGGGUUCACUUCGAGAUCACAGGUGCAUGUGAUUCAUUCUUUGCUCUCUCGUGCUGCUGGAUGUCGGGUGCCCAAGGUGAGAGUAUGUGUGGGUGUUUUGCGUAUGCUCAUCUGAGACUCUGCUCUGCUCGGGGCUGGCAUUUGUUCUGGAGUUUUCCCUGCAGUCCUCCUCCCUUGCUUGCCAGUUCAUGAAGUUAGAGCAUCACAGGCCAGACUUGCUGGCCGGGGUGAGGGGUGGGAGACAGUGCGUCACAGGGUCCAGGGUGCAGUGGCUUCCAAGGUAUCGCCCCUCCUGCCUUUGAAUUUCUGAAGCCCAGAGCACUCAAGACCUUUUGUUAAAGGCCUUUCAGGGCAACAAGAGGAGGGAGAGGGAGUAGAUUUCCCAUAGUCUGAGAGAGGUGAUGGGAAGAAGGGUGCCCCCAUUACCUAAUGGCAUCUUUUAGAGGGAGCAAGGCCUCAGGGGAAAUAGUUCCCAGUGUGGGCCAGAGGAGAAUGGCUUGCAAUUCUCAGCCUUUACAAAACUCCUGCACCUUGUAAUGUGCACUACAAGGAGGUAUUGCUGGGUCCCCUGAGCCUCCUUUGGCCUUAAGCCAUGGAGUUGUCAGCAGCAACCCUGUUGGGGCUGGAGGCCUCCCUGCGGUUUACGGACUCUGUCUAUGGGCGAACCUGGAGGAGAAGGUGGCCCCAGUGAUGAAUGAGAUUUUUUUUUUAAAAGUUUUAUUUAUUUGCAAGGCAGAGUCACAGAGUAUGAGAGAGAGUGAGAGAGACAGAGAGAGAAUCUUCCCUCUGCUGAUUCACUCCCCAAAUUGUCGAAACAGCCAAGACUGGGACAGACAGAAGCCAGGAGCCAGGAACUCCACCCGGGUUUCUCACAUGAGUUUCGGGGGCACAAGCACUUGGGCCAUCUUCCACUGCCUCCCUAAGCACAUUAGUAGGGAGCCGGAUCAGAAGCAUAGCAGGUGGGACUGAGACCAGACUCCAAUAUGGAGUACCAGGGUUGCAAGCAGUGGCAUAACCUGCUGUGCCAUAAUGCUGGUCCCACAAAGGAUAUUCAGUUCCUUUUUUUUCUGCCAAUAUUUUAUUAUAUCAAUGGCACUACAUUUAAAUGGCCAUGAAGGCCAAUUCAGUGUAGUUCCAUUGGAAUAAAAUUCAAGGAUUUGAAAUGCAGGGGCUCAUGGAGAAUGUAAUUAAAAGCUGUCUAUUUGGGUGCAAAGCUUUUUGAAAUCCAUGCAUAGUUUGUUAAUCAUACGUACAUUUUCCAUGAACUGUUUGAAGACCUGUCACCCACAGCAGCGAGCUGGGUGAGGAAGGGCAAGGCUCCUCCCACAAGUGGAGGCCUCCUAGAGGGAAUGAGCUGUGGGUCAUGGGUCAGCCUCUGUGUCCUGGGGCUGUCAUGGAAGGACCUCUUGGGGAGUCAGCAGGGGAGGCUCAGGAGGCUGCUGGGGCAGAGGGCAGGGCUGCAGCGUGAGGGAGAAGCUGACAUGGGCAGCAGUGUGCUCAGACGGAGGGGCAGCUUCCUGCUUCUCAGUUCCCACGCCUGAUGUCCAUCCUCCAGGGGAUGACUUCAGUGGAGGGCACAAUUCCUGUCCUAUGAAACAGCCCCAUCCCCUUGUGGUCCUGUCAAAUAAAAGAGAACCCAAGUAGGAAUCUGGGCUGGGCUAACCCAAACACUCUCAAUGAUGAGAUUCUUAAUCGUUGCCAACAGCAGGAGGCAUGUUGGUGCUGACCCCUCCCCACACGUCCUCCUGAUGCAACCACUGCCACCUGUACUGCUUGCUGGUUUGGUGCCAGUGCCCGGCCAUCAUCCUCUGCCUCACUCAGGGUGAGCUCGGUUGCUACAGCAACAAUACCCUGGGAUCUCAGCGGUGUAAACAAGCACAUCCAUUUCUCUCUCAGCUUGGAGGCUCUCCCUCACUCAGGCAGGGAGCGGCCUUCCCCUCUCUGCUUCCCUGAGAAACAGGGCUCCUGUCCUGGCCUUUCUGCUUCAGAGGCCCCAGUGGUCAGGAGGGCCUUCCUGGAAAAUCAUCUGUGUCCCACCCUGUGGGCUGUGACCAGUCAGGGGUAUCAGGGCAGCCUGCAUCCACAUCUGGUUCCAGGUGGGUUCCAGUUGCUGGAUAAGCAUCCCUGGAGAUUUCCUCUGUCUCUGUCCAGAGCCUGAGACCAGCAGGGUGAGGGGUGGCAGCCAUUUUGGUGGGAAGUGCAGCACACCAGUGGAGUAUGUGGUGGCCUCUGUUCCCGUUUCUCCUUUUGGGGUACUUGCCAAGAUUCUAUCAAGUAUGUGGGCUCAACCAGAUGCCCUGGGGACUCUUACCUCUACGUGGCAUGUAUGGCAUCAUCCUGGACCCACUGACCAGCACUGAAUUCCAGAGGCAAAUGGGUCACUCUGGGUCGCUAGGAGGGUGCUUGUUUGGGUGACCUUGGGACACCAAAAUGGUGCAAACAUGUUGAUUUGGGGUGAUUCUCCCACAUGUUAGAUAUAAAAUAUAUUCAGAAUUCUGGAUACUGACAGCUCGCUCGCUGCUGACUCUGGUGUUUGCCCUGUGUGUGGGUAGAUCAGUGUGUCAUCACACACUCCCCAACUGCAGUGCUGUCUCUGGUCCACAGCACCAAAAGGUAGCAAAGGUGGUGACCAGGUUCCUUUAUCCUGUGCCUCCCCCAAAAUCCCUAUCUCUGGUUACCAGGUGGUCACCCCAGCCCCUCUGCAGACUCUGUGCCAAGUAUAUGGUGGUCCCUGGCUGCACCUGUAUUCCCAGAGGACUUUCAAGACUAUUGCUCUACAGUGCAAUGAGCUCCAGCAGAGGCCUUUUCUUGCUGUUGAUUCCGUGGUGAUGUAAUGCUCUCAUGUGCUGGUCUUUUUCUUUUUCUGUUUUAAAAGAUGUAAUGCUCUCAUGUGCUGGUCUUUUUCUUUUUCUGUUUUAAAAGAUUUUGUUAAUUUUUUUGAGAGGCAGAGUUACAGAAAGAGAGAAGGAUAGACAGAGAGAAAGGUCUUCCAUCUUCUGGUUCACUCCUCAUAUGGCCACAAUGGCCAGAGCUGAGUAGGUCUGAAGCCAGGAGCCAGGAGAUGAUUUCUCUGGGUCUCCCACAAGGGUGCAGGGGCCCAAGCCCUGGGGUCAUCUUCUAUUGCUUUCUCAGGCCAUAGCAGAGAGAUGGAUUGGAAGAGAAGCAGUGGGAACAUGAAAUGGUUCCUAUAUGGGAUGAUAGCAUGCGGCUGGUGGAGGCUUAACCUACUCUGCCACAGUGCUGGCCCCAUGGACUGGUCUUAAGUCAUGCAGGAUGGAGGACAGAAAUUCCUUGUGAGGAUGGGCUCUUUUACCUCUACCCUACCUCCCUGCUGGAGAUGGCGUAUGGAAGGCAGGUGUGUUAUCAGUAAUGAUAGAGGUACCAUUUGAGGAAUGCAGCAAUUAUAGCCUAGAGUUCAAUAGAAGACAUGGUAGGGACGUGUGCUGUUCUCCUUCGAUGCUAUAAAACACCAAAUACUAAAUUUAACACCAACAGAAAAUGAGCUAUCUCCCACAUUUUCCUGUGCACUAUGAUUAAGAAUUGCAUUGUGUGGACAUCAUCAAUGAAACAAAAUAAUGACCUCUAAGAAUGCCACUGGAAGCCAGAGUUCAUGGAUGGCGUGUAUGAUAGAUGAUGUAAUGGUCACGCAUGAGUAAUGAUGUCACUAAGAUCGAAUAACUUGAGGGGCAAAAUAUCUAUGUUAUUUCACUAAAUCAGUUUCCAAGGUCGAUGGCCAUGGCUCCUGAAUAAUAACAGUGCUGCUACCUUUUUCUUAAUGGAGGGGAUGUAAAAAUGGUAUACUGGACAACAAAGGACAUGAAGAGAUGGUAUGCUCAUUGGACAGAAAGCAAUUCCAUCCAUAUCCAUAUAUACAAAUAUACCCAGCAAUCACUAGAAUCCUGAGAGUGAACAUCUCCAUGUCUCCCAGAAGUUUCCUUGUGCCCUUUGGCAAACUUUCUUUGCUCUGUCCCAAUACUCACUCUCUCAGGGAAGCCACUGGUCUACUUUCUAUCAAUAUACAUUAAUUUAAAUUUCUACAAUUUUCUAUAAAUAGAAUCAUACAGUAUGUCCAAAUAUUUAAAUAGACACAAACUUUUUUUAAAAGAUUUAUUUUAUUUAUUUGAAAGAGUUACAGAGAGAGGUAGAGACAGAGAAAGAGAGAGAUAUCUUUCAUCUGUUGGUUCACUCCCCAGAUGGCCGCAACGGCUGGAGCUGUGCCGAUCUGAAGCCAGAAGCCAGGAGGUUCUUCCUGGUCUCCCACGCGGGUGCAGGGGCCCAAGGACUUGGUCAUCCUCUACUGCUAUCCCAGGCCAUAGCAGAGAGCUGCAUCGGAAGUGGAGCAGCCAGGACUAGAACUGGCUCCCAUUUGGGAUGCUGGUGCUUCGGGCCAGGGCAUUAACUUGCUGUAUCACAGUGCCAGCCCCAACAGAAACUUUUAAUAUUUUGGGGGUAAAUAUUGAAGAAUGGAAUAGUUGCCUCAUCUUGUAGCUUUCAUUGAAUUCCACAAAUUUUGGUGAGUUGUUUUUUUCAUUACAUACAUUGUUUUAUUUCAUUAAAAUACCUUGUAAUUUCCCCUUUUGAUGUAUUCUUUGACCGAUGGGUUACUCAGAAGUGUGUUAUUUAGAUUCCAAAAAUUUGGUGAUGUUCCAGAUAUCUUUCUAUUGUUGAUUGCUAAUCUGAUGGCAUGGUAAUCACAGAAUUCAUUCUGUAUGACUUAAAUACUUGAAAAUUUGUUGAUACUUGUUUGUUUGUUUGUUUUUUGUAUUUCCCCACACAGUUACUAUUUUCAGUGCUUUUUGGUCCUUUGUGUAAAUCUAGAUUUCUAUAUGAAUCAUUUUUCUUCAGAUAUCUUUUCCUUCCUGUGUGUGCGCAAAGGGGAGAGAAACAGAAUAUAAACUCUCUGAUAUCUUUUCUUUUAAGGACGCUAAUCCUAUAUGAGCAGGUCCCCAUAUCUAUGACCUUAUUAGCCACCAGUACCUCUAUAACGACCCUAUCUUCAAAUGCAGUUAUACUGGAGGUUGAGACUCCAGUGUAUGAGUUUGUGAGUGAGGGGCACAAAUCAUUCCACAGGAGAAGAUGACUUGGAAAUAUGGAGACAGGGGUGAGGGGUAACUUGGGGGCAACAGAAAGCUGAGGGAAGAGAGGAGUUCAUGGAAAUGCGAGGUCAACACAAUGAGACAAUGCGGUCAUAAUAAAACGGACAGUUCCAGCGCACUGUGUGGGUAUUGUGGGCAGCUCUUCACCUGGGUGACCUCUGAUUCCUCGUGGCACUGGGUGUGGUCAGCUUGCUUUAGAGUUCAGGAAACAGAGACUUGUGGAAGUUGGAUAACCUGACGGAGGUUCCUGCAGCUGCUGAGGAGAGCUGCAUUCAAACUGGUCUCCCUUAACCCAGGUGUGCUGUUUUCGCUAGGCUCAGCUGCCUCUCGGUAGGGGUUGCUGCUGAGAAGAGACCUGGCUUGGAAGAGGCUUAGGAAGCAUCAGUGAGGCUGUGGGCGUCAGAAGGGAGGCUUUCUGAUGUGGGUAGUUGGGAGCUACAGAAGUGUGCCCUGGCCAGUGUAGACCAGCGUGAAGGACAUUGGUGCUCUUUGAUGUAUCUGUUGGGUACUCAUGGAAAAGAUGACUCCAGGGCUCGGUGUUGUGGUGCAGCAGGCAAAGCUGUCCAUUGUGAUGCCAGCAUCCUGUGACCCAGUGCUGGUUUGAGUCCCAGAUGCUCUGCUUCUGAUACAGCUUCCUGCUAACACACCUGGGAAAGCAGCAGAAGAUGGUUCAAGCACUAGUGACCUUGCACUCACUUGGGAGACCCGGAUGGAGUUCCAGGCUCCUGACUUGAGGCCCGCCAGGCCUAGCUUCAGUGGUUGCGAGAAUUUGGGGAGUGCACGAGUGUGGAAGAUCUUUCUGUCUCUCUCUCUCUCUGCCACUCUCUUUCAAAUAAAUAAAUAAAUAAAUCUUAAAAAAGGAAAGAAAAAUGACUCCAACUGCUGUGGUGGGGAGGGGGGGAAGGUCCCCAGCUGUAUUUACUCCAGGUUCUUAUCUCCAUGUGAGAUAAAAUUCAAAGUGGAGUCAUAUAUUGAAUGCAAAAAUGAAAGGAGGAUUUAUUUAGAGAGAGAACAUUUGAAAGUUAACAUGGGUAGCUCUGUGAGGAGAGGCACACACUAUAAGGAGCAGCAUUUGUAGCCCAGUUCAGUGGUCUCUUUUAUUGGAUAGGGGUGGUGACCUAACUGAAUAUACAAAUGGGGUGGAGCUUGGGCACAGUUCAGUGCGUGUGAUGAUUCCUGGGAAGGCUUUCUUGGCAUCUCCACCUGGAGCCCAGUGUACACACACUCAUAAUGGCAUCUUUAUGAUACAGGAGGCUCAGGUGCAUCAAUUAAAUUGGCCUGCAAGGAGGGGGGAGUUAGGAUCCAGGCAAUGAGACAGAGACUGCUGGAAACUUCUUAGCUCCUUUGUUCCUCACUGGCUCCCUGCCUCAUCUGUAUCACAGGUAGCUUUAGGAAGCUCGACAUUCUGUGUUCACUGGCAUCAGAACUGUGUGCACCACUUCAGAUCUUUUCUGUGUCAUCUUUCUGUGUCUUCUCUUGUUCUGGGCUGCACCUCUGGUGACACCUCUGCAUGGGCUACACCUGCAGGCAGAUGCACAGGUGUCUGACUUUGCCUGCUGUCACCAUGGGCACCUACUCUGAGCCCCUACAAAUUGAUGGACACAUUUCCUUCUUUUUCUGUCACAAUGGCCAAAAGACUUUAGCACUCAACUUUCAGAAAGAGCAGAUCAUCCAGGUAGAAAACCAAUAAGGAAUCCAGGGUUUACAGGCCAGCAGCAGCCCUGGCUGGUGGCAGCCAGCCUGGAAUGCAGAGUCAUUUCCCCCUCUUCUCUUUCUCUGCUCCCCUGCUCCUUUCCUUUGGCCUACUGCUUGGGAUGAUACUUAAUACAGUGAUAGUACUGAAGGCCCUUUUGAGAAGGAUUCUGAGAUCACAUCAAAUCUCAUUGAGGACAAGCUCUGAGGUCAGAUUUGGAUGUCUGCAAUGGACAUGGUGAAAAGAGAGCAGAGGUCUGCUAUACAUUUCUUCACUUUUCAGCUUUAGACAUAUGUAUUAGCUCUUCUAUGUAAGAUGAGUGCCUGUGGGGUCAAGCUGAGUCUUAUUUAUUAAGUGAGGGAAAGAGUUGGAGUGUAGUGGAGAGGAGAGAAACUUUGCAUUUUUUAAAGAUUUAUUUAUUUAUUUGGAGGUCAGAAUUACACAGAGAGAGGAGAGACAGAGGGAGAGAAAGGUCUUCCACCUGCUGGUUCAUUCUCCCAUUUGGCCACAAUUGCCAGAGCUGUGCUGAUCUGAAGCCAGGAGACAGGAGCUUCUUCCAGGACUCCUAUGUGGGUGCAGAGGCCCAAGGACUUGGGCCCUCUUACCCUGGCUUCCCAGGCCAUAGCAGAGAACUGGAUCAGAAGUGGAGCAGCUGGGUCUCGAACCAGUUCCCAUAUGGGAUGCCAGCACUGAAGGCAGCAGCUUUGCCUGCUAAGCUACAGUGCCAGCCCCAAAACUUCCAUAUUUUAAACAUCUACUAUGUGCUGGGCACUGUUUAGUUACAUCAUAUUUAAUAUCCACAUUAACUGUCUGGAGUAGGUAUUAUCUCACUUCAAAAAGUGUAGGAUUAUGAGACUUACCUCAAUUUAUUUAGUCAAUACAUUUGUACCAUUGUUUUAUAUGAAAAUUCCCGUGCUCUGUCCUCUUGAUUCUUUCAGAAUCACAACAAGAAACUGAUAACAUAUGUAGAUAGGGUGAUUGAAGAAUGUUAAUAAAGGGACUAUUAAGAAAGAUGUGGGAAGAGAUAAGAGAAGUCUGCAAAUGGAAUCCAAUGUCUAUCAAGAGUGGGAACAAGUCUCCCUGGAAGACGUAAGAUGUAAGAAGGAAAUGGUCAAUAGAAUUCGAGGGUUGGGGCUACAUGACAGGAACGGAGGCUUCAGUGGGAGGGUGAAAAAAACUCCACUAUGGUCCAAGGAGGGGUGGGGACUGUAAUGAACUUUAGGUCUUCACACACUUGCUGGUGACUUCCAUUGGCUGAUGCCAACUGGGAGUCUGAGGACAAAGUAUUCCAAAGAGGAGGUCCCCAUAGGUCAGGCUUUUGCCCAGCAGAGAAAGAUGGAGUAAAAAGACGGAGGAUUUGGAGGCCAAAUAAACUAUACAGCACAUUCCAUGCAAAUAGUGUUAGAUAAUGCUCUUAGAUGCUCGGAGAUUUUUCAGGCAAAUAACUGAUGUACAGAGCCUUUUAUGAUUCAGUCAAAACCCCUAAAAGAUACCUGUAACUCAACAGUGGCUUAGGCAUUGAAGACAUGUAAUUACUUCACAUUUGAAGAAGUCUGGAUGUCAGCAGUCCAGGGCUGACACAGAGGGUCACUGACAUCAUCAAAGAUGUCAUCCCUCUUUCUCUUUUCUUUCUGCAGCCCUCACUAUGCUGAUUCCUCCUACUUGUGGUUUGUCACUGCUGCACUAUAAUGUAUCCACUGCAGUCCUAGGACACACACGUUUAUUUAUAGAAAUUUGGGCACCAAAGGCAAAGUAUUUCUCCUUGUGAAGUGUUGUAUUCUUUUUUCCUUUCGUUUUGAUUCUUAUAUCUUUUCUUUUCUCAAAUUAUUUUUGUAAAUUUUUAUAUCGUAAAAAUUGUAGAUUUUUAUGGUAUACAGCAAAUAUUGAACACAUACACAUAGUACAAAUAAAUCAAGCCAGGCAAUUGUCUUUCCAUUUCUGUGUGUGUGUGUGUGUGUGUGUGUGUUUGGAGGCUACUAGGUCCUAUCUUUCAGUUCAACACAGCACAUAUCACAUUACACUUUAUUAUUUAGACAGUGCAUAUUGGCCGGCACCAUGGCUCAAUAGGCUAAUCCUCCGCCUGCGGCGCCGGCACUCAGGGUUCUAGUCCCAGUCGGGGUGCCAGAUUCUGUCCCUGGAAGCCAGGCCAGCACUCUGCUGUGGCCUGGGAGUACAGUGGAGGAUGGCCCAGGUCCUUGGGUCCUGCACCCGCAUGGGAGACCAGGAGGAAGCACCUGGCUCCUGCCUUUGGAUCAGCGUGAUGUGCUGGCCGCCGUGUGCCGGCCGCGGCAGACAUUGGGGGGUGAACCAAAUGCAGAGGAAGACCUUUCUCUCUGUCUUUCACUCUCACUGUCCACUCUGCCUGUCAAAAUAAAAGAUAGUACAUAUCAUAUUAUACUUUAUUAUGUUUAUAAUAUAUUACAGUGUGUGAUACAUUGUUCUGAGCUAUGGUAACCAGAUUGUACCAGGGAACAUUGGAAUUUUCUGCAUUAAUUGAUAUGAUUGUUUGAUUUUUAUCCUUAAUUCUGUUGAUAUUACACAUUAUGUUUAUUGAUUUGUAUGUGUUUUUUUUAAAGAUUUUAUUUUUUAUUUGAGAGGUAGUCACAGACAGUGAGAGGAAGAGACACAGAGAGGUCUUCCUUCUGUUGGUUCACUCCCCAAAUGGCCACAAUGGCCAGAGCUGCGCCAAUCUGGAUCCAGGAGCCAGGAGCUUCUUCUGGGUCUCCCAUGAAGGUGCAGGAGCCCAAGCAUUUUGGCCAUCUUCUACUGCUUUCCCAGACCAUAGAAGAGAGCUGGAUAGGAGGAGAAGCAGCCAGGACUAGAACCAGCGCCCAUAUGGGAUGUUGGUGCCUCAGGUAGAGGAUUAACCUACUGCACCAUGGCACACAUAUGUAUAUGUUCAACCAUCCCUACAUUCCUAGGAUAAAUUCCACUCUGUCAUGAUGAACUCUUUGAAAUAUUACUGUAUUUCACUUGCUAGUUCUUUGUUGAGAAGUUUCUCUUCUAUGUUCAUCAGGGAUAUUGGUCUACAGUUUUCUUUUUCUGUUGUGUGCUUGAUCAGUUUUAUUUAUUUAUUUAUUUAUUUAUUUUUAAAGAUUUAUUUGAAAGUCAGAGUUACACAGAGAGAGAAGGAGAGGCAUAGAGAGAAAGAGACAAAGAGGUCUUCCAUCGGCUGGUUCACUCCCUAGUUGGCUGCAACGGUCGGAGCUGUGCCGAUCCGAAGCCAGGAGUCAGGAGCUUCUUCCAAGUCUCCCAUGCAGGUGCAAGGGCCUAAGAACUACUUUCCCAGCCAUAGCAGAGAGCUGGAUUGGAAGUGGAGCAGCUGGGACUUGAACCAGUGCCCAUAUGGGAUGCUGACACUGUAGGCCCUGCUACAGGCCCACUACACCACAGCGCCGGCCCCCUUGAUUGGCUUUAGAAUCAAGGAGAAGUCGGCGCCAUGGCUCAACAGGCUAAUCCUCCGCCUUGCGGCGCCGGCACACCGGGUUCUAGUUGCGGUCGGGGCACCUUAUUCUGUUCCGGUUGCCCCUAUGGCAGGCCAGCUCUCUGCUAUGGCCAGGGAGUGCAGUGGAGGAUGGCCCAAGUGCUUGGGCCCUGCACCCCAUGGGAGACCAGGAGAAGCACCUGGCUCCUGCCAUCGGAUCAGCGUGGUGUGCGGGCCGCAGUGCGCUGGGCGCGGCGGCCAUUGGAGGGUGAACCAAUGGCAAAGGAAGACCUUUCUCUCUGUCUCUCUCUCUCUCACUGUCCACUCUGUCAAAAAAAAAAAAAAAAAGAAGAAGAAUCAAGGAGACAUGUAGGAUAAUUUUGUGAAAUCCCCUUUUGAUAUAUUCAAUGUUCCAUUGUUCAUUAGAGAAGAUAUUUUUCAGUUUCUAUGCAUUUGAAUAGUUUCAAGAGUUUCCUUUGUUGUCAGUUUCUAGUUUCAUUCUGUUGUGAUAAAAAGUACUUUAGUUCUUUGAGGCUUGUUUCUCAGCCUCCUAUAUGGUCUAUCUUAGAGAAUAUUAGAUGUGCUGAUCAAAAUAAUGUGUAUUCUGCAUUUGUAGGAUGGAAUGCUCUUUAAAUAUAUGUUAGGUUUAUUUGGUCAACAGUACAGUUUAAUUCUGAUUAUUUUUGAUGAUUUUUGUUUUUUUUUUGGCUGAGCGAUUUGUCUAGUUGAAAGUGAGAUGUUGAGGUUCCCCACAAUGAUUGUAUUGGAGCCUAUCUCUUGCUAAAUCUAACAAUGUUUGUUUUAUACAAUUAGGUAGCCAGCAAUAGUAGUAUAUAUACUUAGACCUGUUUUAUCUUCUAAUUAUAUAAAUCAUUCGAUCAUUACAUUGUGACCCCAUUUUUGUCUCUUUUUACUAUUAUUGUAUUAAAUUCCAUUUUGUCUGAUGAAAGUAUAGCUACUUCUGCUCACUUUUGGUUUCUGUUAGCAUGGAAUAUCUUUUUUUCCAUCGUUUUUCUUUCAGUGUACAUGUGUUUACUGGUGAAGUAGAUUUCUUGUAGAAAAAUGGAAGGACAAGGUCAUUCACUUCUCAGCAAUAACAUGGAAUAUAAAUGACAUAAAUUCUCCAAUUGAUAUAUGCAGACUGCCUGAAUGAGUUAAAAAACAUGACUAAUCUAUAUGCUACCUAUAAAAAACAUACCACACACACACACAAAAAAAAAUACAGAAAGACUGAAAGCAAGAGGAUGGAGAAAGAUUUCCAUGCAAAUGGAAAUAAAAAAAUGAGCAGGAGUAGCUAUUCUAAAAUCAGGCAAAAUAGACUUAAAUGCAAAACUAUUAAAAGGGAAAAAAGAAGGGCAUCAUGUAAUGACUAAGUGAUCUAUUUAACAGGAAGAUGUGACUAGAGGAAAUGCAGAUGUACCCAAUUCUAGGGCACCUAGCUACUUAAAACAAAUGCUGAUUGACUUAAAACGAGACAUAUAUUCCAAUACAAGAAUAGUGGGGGACUUUGACAUCCCACUUUCAACAAUGGACAGAUCAACUAGACAAAAAAUCGAUAAAGAAACAACAGAGCUAGUCUAUAAUAUUGACCAAUUUGAUUUAUUUCAUAUCUACAGAGCAUUUCAUCCCACAGCCGCAGAAUACAUAUUCUUUUCAUCAGAACAUGGAUUGCUCUCUAGGGUAGACUAUAUUAUAGGCUAUAAUAGAAGUCUCAACAAAUUCAAAAAAGUUGAAAUUGUACCAUGUAUUUUAUUUAACCACACAGAAUGAAGCUAGACAUUAACAAUGUAGGAAACUAUAGAAAUACGUAAACAUAUAGAGAUGAAAAACAUGCUCCUUAAUAAACAGAGAGUCAUAAAAGAAAUCAAAAAGGACAUAAAAAGUUCCUAGAAAUGAGUUAAGAUGACAACACUUAUCAAAACUUAUGGGAUACAACAAUGUCAGUGUUAAGAGGAAAUUUUAUAGCAAUUAGUGACUACAAUAAUAAAUUGGAAAGGCAUCAAAUAAAUGAUCCAAAAAUGCAUCUAAAGGACCUAGAAAAACAAGAGAAAACAAACCCAAGGAAGAAAGGAAUAAUAAAAAUUAUAGGUUGGGCUGGUGCCAUGGCUCAAUAGGCUAAUCCUCUGCCUGUGGCACUGGCACACCGGAUUCUAGUCCUGGUCUGGGCGCCAGUUCUGUCCCAGUUGCUCCUCUUCCAUCCAUUCCAGCUCUCUGCUGUGGCCAGGGAGUGCAGUGGAGGAUGGCCCAGGUCCUUGGGCCCUGCACCCGCAUGGGAGACCAGGAGGAAGCACCUGGCUCCUGGCUUUGGAUCGCCGCCACAGGGCAGCUGCCAUAGUGGCCAUUUGGUGGGGGGGGGGGUGAACCAACGGAAAAAGGAAGACCUUUCUCUCUGUCUCUCUCACUGUCUAACUCUGCCUGUCAAAAAAAAAUUAUAGGUAAACAAAAUUGAAAUACAAAAGAUUUGUGAAAUGAAGAGCUGAUUUUAAAAUAAUAAAAUCAAUAAACCUUUGUUCCAACUAACCAAAAAAGGAAGACCCAAAUUAACAAAAUAAGAGAUGAAAAGGAUAUGUUACAAUGGGUAUCACAGAAAUAAAAAGAAUCGUCAUGAGUUACCUCAAGUAACUAUAUACCAACAAAUUGGAAAAUAUUGAAGAAAUGAAUAGAUUUCUGGGCACAUACAAUUUACCAAAAUUGAAAUACAGAGACACACAAAACCUGAAUAGAUCAGUAACCAAGACAGAGAAUGAAUCAGUAAUAAAGACUGUCCCAACAAAGAAAAUUUCAGGACUGGAUGGCUUCACUGCUGAAUUCUACCAGACAUUUUAAGAAGAACUAAUUCAAAUUUUUUUCAAGCUAUUCAUAACAAGUGAAAGGGAGGGAGUCCUCCCAAACUCCUUCUAUGCGGCCAUUGGGCCAUCAUCACCUUAAUUUCUGAACCAGAGAAAGAUACACCAGAGAACGAGCAUUAUAGAUCAAUAUCCCUGGUGAACAUAGAUGCAAAAAUCCUUAAGAAAAUAAUAGCUAAUCUAAUCCAACAAUACAUAGAAAAGAUCAUCCACCUGGAUCAAGUGGGUUUUACCCUGGGAUGCAGGGAUGGUUCAACAUUUUCAAAUCAAUAAAUGUGAUAUAUCAAGUUAACACAUUGGAGAAUAAAAACCAUGUGAUUAUCUCAGAAGCAUUUAAUAAAAUACAACUUUCCUUCCUGAUAAAAAUCUUAAGCAAAUUGGUUAUAGAAGGGCUAUUCCUCAACACAGACAAAGGAAUGUGUGACAAACCCAUAGCCAGCAUCACACUGCAUAGGGAAAAGCAAGAAGCAUUUCCACUAAGGUCCAGGAGCAGACAAGAAUGCCCAUUCUCACCAUUACUAUUCAAUACAGUUCUGGAAGUUUUAGCCAGACCCAUUCGGCAAGAAAAGAAAUCAAAUGAAUACAAAUAGGAAAGGAGAAAGUCAAAUUAUCCCUGUUUGCAGAAGACAAACAAAUCCCUUCAUGUAAAUAAAUUUAAAAUAGCAAAAAAAAUCUGAGAAAUCCUCAAUGAAGAAAGGAAUUCACCUUGCAAUUAAGACAUCCUACUCAAUUAGAAUUUGCCAAGACACUAGAAUAGAGAAAAACUUGAGGUGUUUGAAAGACAUAUAAAACCGUGGUGUCUGAAGCAGUCUCUAUGAGAAAGUACAUGAAAUAUGACAAUGUUGAAAGCAUACAUUGUGUGGCCAGUGCCGUGGUGUAGUGGGUAAACCCAUCGCCUGCAGUGCCGGCAUCCCAUAUGAAGUCCCGACUGCUCCACUUCCGAUCUAGCUCUCCACUAUGGCCUGGGAAAGCAGUAGCAGAUGCCCCAACUCCUUGGAUCCCUGAACUCUUGUGGGAGACCUGGAAGAGGCUCCUGGCUCCUGGCAUCUGAUCAGCACAGCUCUAGCCAUUGCAGCCAUUUGGGGAGUGAACCAGCAGGUGGAAGACCUCUCUCUCUCUCUCUCUGUCUCUGCUUCUCCUUCUCUCCCUGUUUAACUCUUUCAAAUAAAUAAAUAAAUAUUCUUUUUUUAAAGAAAACAUACUGUGAGCAAAUCAUGCACUAUUAAAGGAAGUCAGGACUUAGAAUCUAAGUUUGAUAGAAAGCACUAAUGUAGGGUUUUAAGCAGGAGUGUGGCAAGAUACAAUUUGCAGUUUAGAUUUGAAGAUUAGGUAUGUAUUAUUAUCCACAUGUAAUGAGAGUUUUGAGUAAUCUGAAGUUGUUUUCAAUUGUGUUAUUUUGAAUCUUCUAUUUCCACCUGUUGUGUUCAGUAAUGGUAGUUGAGCAGGAUUCAUAACUUUCUUUCCUUUUUUAAGAUUUAUUUAUUUUAUUUGAAAGGCAGAGAUACAGAGAGGCUGAGGCAGAGAGAGAGAAAGAAGAGAGAGAGAGAGGUCUUCCAUCCACUAGUUCACUCCACAGACAGCCGCAAUGGGCGGAGCUGGGUUGAUCUGAAGCCAGGAGCCAGGAGCUUCUUCCAGGUCUCCCAUGCAGGUGCAGGGGCCCAAAGACUUGGGCCAUCUUGUACUGCUUUCCUGGGCCACAGCCAAGAGCUGGAUCGAAGAAGAGCAGCCGGAGUUGAACUGGUACCCACCCAUAUGGGGUGCCAGCACCGCAGGCAGUGGGUAGUAUGCCACAGUGCCAGCCCAUCAUAUCUGCUGAAUGGGAACUUGGGGUGGUAGUUGUUGGUAACCUGGACUAUUCUAACUGACUUAGGAAACCCUUUGGGAAGGUGUUUAACUUGAGGACUUGGUGGCUUAUUGGUACUGGUUUUUGAAAAUAAGGCAAUGUUAUCUUUUAUUAUCAGCCUUGGGCCCCAGUAAUUCAAAGUCAAUUGAGAAAUCUUACUCAAUAUUGUUUCACAUAUGAUUCGUAAAUGAAACUAGGGCCCUUGGAUGUGAAGCAACUUAUCCCUAGUCCCACAUGUGUAGUAAUUUAAAGAGUUAGAGGUUGCAGUUCUACACUGUAGAACCAAAGCCUAUGUUUGGAACCACUGUGCUCUACAGGUAAAGUGUAUCCAAAGGAGAUGAGUCCUCUUGGUAAGUUUAAAUAAACAAAGGAACAAGAUAAAAUAGCAGGGGACUGAGUGUUGUGUUGUAGUGCACAAAUACUCAAUAUUCCUCCUCUCUAUCAGUCCCAUCAGUUAAACUGUUCAUAGUGAUUCUUGUGUCCUGGGAAUACUGUGAAAACCACAGAAACUGGGAGUCAGAAUGUGAAGGGAAACAUUAUAAACAUUACAAAUGUCACAGGACUUCUUUCUCAAAACUGUUCAAUAUUCACUUUCCAAAAAAUGUUAGAUGUACAUGGAGUUUCCAUUUUCCCAUGGAAGGUGAGAUGUUGAGGAAUACUGAUGUUUUCAGUGGAGAACAGAAGAUACCAGUCACAGAGCCAUUAGAAUAACUGAAGAACUGAAUUUCUUUAAGAAACCUCUCCUUAGGUCGCCUGAAACACCCAUGUUAAAUUUCAAGUGCAUUGGUUCUAGCAUUCUACAUGUGUCCAUCAAUUUUAUUUAUUUUCACACACCAAAUUAUCCUCUAAAACCAAUGCAGAUUCUAAUAUCUAUAAUCAUUUAUGUACUUUUUAUAACUUUAUAGAGAGCAUCUUUCUCUUGAGAACAAAGCACCAUUGUAUCUGUUUCUAGAUCCACACACAUCUGUCUUUCUGGAAACUAUGCUUUGUAUGCCCUAAUUUAAAGAACUCAUUAAAAUAAAAGGAAGAAAAGCAACUGUAAUAGUAACUGAUUACAGUCAACAUUCCCAUAAUUUGUAAUGUCUUAAUUUUUCCUCCCGCUGUAGAACACAGUACUUUCUGUUUCAAAUUUGGAUAAUUGAAUAGUGACUUAUGUGCAAAUUGACAGUGAUUCUCAAAAACAUUUACAUCAUAUUGAUGAUUAAAGCAACAAAGGCCGGUUUUCUGUUAAUUUUUUUUUAACUUUUAUUUAAUGAAUAUAAAUUUCCAAAGUACGGCUUAUGGAUUACUAUG